UCUGGUUGAUCCUGCCAGUAGCAUAUGCUUGUCUCAAAGAUUAAGCCAUGCAUGUCUAAGUACAAGCCAUAUUAUGGUGAAACCGCGAAUGGCUCAUUAAAUCACACCUAAUCUACUGGAAUGUUAGCAGUUACUUGGAUAACUGAGGUAAUUCUUGAGCUAAUACAUGCGAAAAAUCCCGACUCACGAAGGGAUGCUUUUAUUAGAUCAAAACCAAACAGCUUCGGCUGUAACACUGGUGACUCUGAAUAACUUUGGGCUGAUCGCAUUGCCUUGAGCAGGCGACAUUUCCUUCGAAGGUGUGCCCUAUCAACUGUCGACUGUGAUAUAGACGCUCACAGUGGUUUUGACGGGUAACGGGGAAUCAGGGUUCGAUUCCGGAGAGGGAGCCUUAAAAACGGCUACCACAUCCAAGGAAGGCAGCAGGCACGCAAAUUACCCAAUGAACGAAGUUCGAGGUAGUGACGAAAAAUAACAAUACAAGACUCAUCCGAGGCCUUGUAAUUGGAAUGAGUACACUUUAAAACCGUUUCACGAGGAUCUAUUGGAGGGCAAGUCUGGUGCCAGCAGCCGCGGUAAUUCCAGCUCCAAUAGCGUAUAUUAAAGUUGUUGUGGUUAAAAAGCUCGUAGUUGGAUUUCGGCGGGUAUUGGUUGGUUUGAAUUGCUUCAACACUGACUUUUUUACCCGUGUGUUUUGCCAGAAUUUAGCGGGUGAUCUUCGCCGAUUGUCCGUUGGAACUGGUAGGUUUACUUUGAAAAAAUUAGAGUGCUCAAAGCAAGCUUACUGCUUGAAUAGUUGCGCAUGGAAUAAUAGAAUAGGAAGUCGUUUCUAUUUUGUUGGUUUUCGGAAAUCGACUUAAUGAUUAAUAGGGAUAGUCGGGGGCAUUCGUAUUCAAACGACAGAGGUGAAAUUCUUGGACCGUUUGAAGACGAACUAAGGCGAAAGCAUUUGCCAAGAAUGUUUUCAUUAAUCAAGAACGAAAGUUAGAGGUUCGAAGGCGAUUAGAUACCGCCCUAGUUCUAACCAUAAACGAUGCCAGCUAGCGAUCUGCCGGCGUUUAAUUUUCUGACUUGGCAGGGAGCUUCCGGGAAACCAAAGCUUGUGGGUUCCAGGGGAAGUAUGGUUGCAAAGCUGAAACUUAAAGUAAUUGACGGAAGGGCACCACCAGGAGUGGAGCCUGUGGCUUAAUUUGACUCAACACGGGAAAUCUCACCAGGCCCGGACACUAGUAGGAUUGACAGAUUGAUAGCUCUUUCUUGAUUUGGUGGGUGGUGGUGCAUGGCCGUUCUUAGUUGGUGGAGUGAUUUGUCUGGUUAAUUC
rnacentral:rRNA from 1 species